AAUGAACGUUGGCGGCGUGGAUUAGGCAUGCAAGUCGAGCGAUGAAACAGUGCUUGCACUGUGGAUUAGCGGCGAAAGGGAGAGUAACGCGUGGAUUAUCUGCCCUCAGGACCGGGAUAGCUGCGGGAAACUGCAGGUAAUACCGGAUGAUGUCUCCGGACUAAAUGGUGAGAUUCCGCCUGAGGAUGGGUCCGCGUCCUACUAGCUUGUUGGUGGGGUAACGGCCUACCAAGGCAAUGAUGGGUACCGGGUGUGAGAGCAUGGCCCGGCUCACUGGGACUGAGACACUGCCCAGACACCUACGGGUGGCUGCAGUCGAGAAUCUUCGGCAAUGGACGAAAGUCUGACCGAGCGACGCCGCGUGCGGGAUGAAGGUCUUCGGAUUGUAAACCGCUGUCAGUUGGGAGGAAAUCUAUGGGGGCUAUCCCCCAUAGUUGACCUAUCUUCAGAGGAAGGACGGGCUAAGUUCGUG
rnacentral:rRNA from 1 species